ACUCCUACGGGAGGCAGCAGUAGGGAAUCUUCGGCAAUGGACGAAAGUCUGACCGAGCAACGCCGCGUGAGUGAAGAAGGUUUUCGGAUCGUAAAACUCUGUUGGUAGAGAAGAACGUUGGUGAGAGUGGAAAGCUCAUCAAGUGACGGUAACUACCCAGAAAGGGACGGCUAACUACGUGCCAGCAGCCGCGGUAAUACGUAGGUCCCGAGCGUUGUCCGGAUUUAUUGGGCGUAAAGCGAGCGCAGGUGGUUUAUUAAGUCUGGUGUAAAAGGCAGUGGCUCAACCAUUGUAUGCAUUGGAAACUGGUAGACUUGAGUGCAGGAGAGGAGAGUGGAAUUCCAUGUGUAGCGGUGAAAUGCGUAGAUAUAUGGAGGAACACCGGUGGCGAAAGCGGCUCUCUGGCCUGUAACUGACACUGAGGCUCGAAAGCGUGGGGAGCAAACAGGAUUAGAUACCCUGGUAGUCCACGCCGUAAACGAUGAGUGCUAGAUGUAGGGAGCUAUAAGUUCUCUGUAUCGCAGCUAACGCAAUAAGCACAC
rnacentral:rRNA from 1 species